rnacentral:rRNA from 1 species
UAACGCGUGAGCAACCUGCCUUUAUCAGGGGGAUAACGCAUCGAAAGAUGUGCUAAUACCGCGUAAGACCACAGCUUCACAUGGAGCGGGGGUCAAAGGAGCAAUCCGGAUAAAGAUGGGCUCGCGUCCGAUUAGCUAGUUGGUGAGAUAACAGCCCACCAAGGCGACGAUCGGUAGCCGACCUGAGAGGGUGAUCGGUCACAUUGGAACUGAGAGACGGUCCAGACUCCUACGGGAGGCAGCAGUGGGGAAUAUUGGGCAAUGGGCGAAAGCCUGACCCAGCAACGCCGCGUGAGGGAAGAAGGGUUUCGGCUCGUAAACCUCUGUCCUAUGGGACNUAGGAAGUGACGGUACCAUAGGAGGAAGCCCCGGCUAACUACGUGCCAGCAGCCGCGGUAAUACGUAGGGGGCGAGCGUUGUCCGGAAUGAUUGGGCGUAAAGGGCGCGUAGGCGGCCUGCUAAGUCUGGAGUGAAAGUCCUGCUUUCAAGGUGGGAAUUGCUUUGGAUACUGGUGGGCUGGAGUGCAGGAGAGGAAAGCGGAAUUACCGGUGUAGCGGUGAAAUGCGUAGAGAUCGGUAGGAACACCAGUGGCGAAGGCGGCUUUCUGGACUGAAACUGACGCUGAGGCGCGAAAGCGUGGGGAGCAAACAGGAUUAGAUACCCUGGUAGUCCACGCGGUAAACGAUGAAUGCUAGGUGU